rnacentral:rRNA from 1 species
GUAGGUGGCAAGCGUUGUCCGGGAAUUAUUGGGGCGUAAAGCGCGCGCAGGCGGUUCUUUAAGUCUGAUGUGAAAGCCCACGGGCUCAACCGUGGAGGGUCAUCGGAAACUGGAGAACUUGAGUACAGAAGAGGAAAGCGGAAUUCCACGUGUAGCGGUGAAAUGCGUAGAGAUGUGGAGGAACACCAGUGGCGAAGGCGGCUUUCUGGUCUGUAACUGACGCUGAGGCGCGAAAGCGUGGGGAGCAAACAGGAUUAGAUACCCUGGUAGUCCACGCCGUAAACGAUGAGUGCUAAGUGUUAGGGGGUUUCCGCCCCUUAGUGCUGCAGCUAACGCAUUAAGCACUCCGCCUGGGGAGUACGGCCGCAAAGGCUG